CAGUGCCGGAGAUAUCACCCCACCUUUGGGAACUCCCUGUUUGACUCUACGGUGCUUCGACUUCUUAUCCCUAAAUUCCACAAAUGACUGGCGACCACACAGAUAAUUCGCGACCCACCGUUUCAGGCCGAAAUCUCUCUAUUACGAAUUGUGCAUCUUUUUAUUGAACGGGGAUUUUUAAUUUUAAGAACGCGAGGGUUUCAAUCUCAAUGUAUAUACAAGUGACAUUACUUCCAUUAAAUACGAGAUGAAAUUUCAUUCGAUACGAAAGCGCACUCGAUCACGUAUGCUGUAAUUCGGCCACUGGCUGGAGGGACGUGUUGGCGACGUCCUCAAAUAGUUCGGCAUGGCUGACCGUAUCGAAUGCCUUCGAUAGGUCCAGUGCCACAAGGACCGUCCUUUCACAUGGCCAGGGCUGAUUGAAGCCACGGCAAAUAUGUGCGGUGAUGGCAUGCAAAGCAGUUGUUUCAGUAGCGGGAUCACUCUGCCCAUUUUCCAGACAUCGGGAACUAUCAGUGUUUAAAGACAGGUUGAGAACAGUAGUAAGGUACUCAACUCCAGGAAAAUCAAGAUUCUUCAACAUCAAUGUAGAGAUUCCGCCGGGGCCCAACGCCUUGAAUGAUUUGGCGCCACGAAUGACAUUCGUAACAUCGCCCACGGUAAAUUGUGAUAGUUUUCCAUCGGCUUGGAGACCACGGAUACGGCGAAUGGGUCUCUCCCUGCCCGCUUAUUUCCGUUGACUACUCUGUUUAUUCCCAGAUUCAGCUCACUUAUUCUGGGGUUAGUGGGGUUCAUUCAACGAAUCCCAUCACGCUCGUCUGCGAGUCCACCUACUGUUGAACACUCAACCGGAUCCAAAGGAUGGCUUGUUGGGCUUUGGAGUGUACUCUAGUGUUGGAAUGGCUAAGGUAUAAUAACCGUCAUAAAGACGGUUGGCAUAAAUAUAUUUUCAGACAGCCAUUAAAUCCCUAGAGAACGUAUUUCUGAACUCAAAAACCGCCCUCGACUGUCGCAGAUCUCUCAACGAGAUGGAUGAACAGUUCGACAUGUAAGCUAAAUUUUCAGGUCCAGGCCCGAAGGACAACGAAUGAUAGAUGGUCACAAAGAGGGGGCUGUGAGCAUUCCAAAACUAUGUGGCCUAAUCUAGACUUGACUCGGAAAACAUGCUGACCAGUAACGACUUUUGCAGAAGUCGUGAGGACAUCGAAGGAGAAGAGACUAUAGAACACCUUCUGUGUGUGUGUCCCGCACUGGCAGUCAGAAGGAGUUUUCAUUUCAUUUUGAACCUAUCUGAUUUAGCGGAUGUGAACACUCGCAAGUUGUUGGGCUUUUUAAAGAGAUCUGGAUAGUUCAAUGGUAGGAACUAGAAGGCAUCUUCCUUCUUCUGUUCCUGUGGUAUCAAUGGACGAAAACGUCUAGUGAGUCUGAGUGAGGGCAGAAUGCCACUUAAACCCAACCUAGCCUAACUAGAAUGGGCAGUAUGAUUUAAUUUCCAUUGAUCAGCAACUUGAGUUUCUUCAAGGUAAUAUACUUGAACUAUACAAUUCAACAGUUCCUGUGGUGGCCAGGAGAAUCACUUCGAACAGUAAUCCCUAGUUUAAUUUUUUGGUAAAGAUAUGCAUAAAAGCUAGGGAUAGGGCCUAUGCCAGAUGGAAGCUAUAAGACACCUGAACCGCAUGAUGAAUUUUGCUCCGCAAGAAGGAAGUUGGCCAAGACUGUGUAUUAUAUGGGUCGUUUCAGUUCUUCCAUGAUUAUUGAAUGGAAAGGGCGGCUGCAUCUGCCGGAACUUAAUUGAGCCAGAACUACUCUGGUUUGCCCGGGGGAGGUCAAUUUCUUCAGAUGCAAUGGGAGGCGGUCGUUCUCCAAGGACUACAUCAACCCAGUAGCCUUUUACCGCAUCUGCCACCAUCGCUGAACCUCACGGUCUAGAUCAUGUAGAUCUGGUCCGUGGAUAUCUAUGAUGAUUUGGAUGGCCUCUGCUACAACAGCCCAAAAGGCAUUGCUUGGUCAGCAUGUAGUUAUGUCUUCGAACUGGUAGGAUCUGAGUCUACUGAUGGAGGUGGUCCACAUGAGAACUGAGGAGACAGCCCGUCGCAGUUCAGAGGGCGGCAUUCUGACAGAUCAGAAUAUUAUUCCACUGCGUGUCACAGAGCUGACGAGACCACACUGACGCUGCAUAACUUACCACAGAUCGGCCAAUUGCUUUUACGUGGUCAACAAGGUUUCUUUCUCUACCCCCAAGUGCUGCCGGCAAGUGACUUGAGGACCUUGUUUCUACUUUUGACUUUAUCGCAAGUUGCUGUGGCAUGUGAGAAGAAUGUGUAAGAGCUGUCAAAUGAUACACUUCCUGGCACUGGCCUGGUAAUAUUGGGGCUGUGAUGCUACUGUUGCGUAUAUUGCCGCAAGGGAGAGGUCGGGGGUCACAUAGUCCGACGACGACGACGCUUGUGACCCACUGCUGGCUCUGUUCGCACAGUACCUUGCAACUUUUUAAGAAUACUCGCAGUGAAUUCGAAACAAUUAUUAAUGAUCUCGUCGCCUUAAUGGAAAAAUUUGCAAGAUACAAAACAGUAUUUGAAAAUGCAUCAUGCCUGGAGAAUUUUCUGCAAUCACUCAACGAUUCAAUGAAUUGAAUCCUAAUAUAAACGCAGUUCCAUCUAAUAUUGAAAUUUCAAUGGAGCAGCAACCAUCAACCAGUUUAGUCGCCGAUUACACGAGACUUAAUACUCAGCCGCCUUCUGGCCUAUUGGCUCCAUCGAAUACAGCUGCUUCAUCAAGUGCUGUUAGUGUCUCUGCCUUACCGUCUGGAACAACAACAUUUUACACUCCACAAGCUACACCCAAACUACCAACUACGACUCCUAAACCACUAAAAGUUGCCCCGAAUAAGAAAGCGAUUUUUGCAGCCAAAUUCGCUGCUGAAACUUCCACUGAUGACAUGUUAUUUUAUUUAAAAUCAAAGAUUGACAUUGAUGUCGAAUUGAGUGUUUACAAAUUUAAGUACCAUGGAAGGCGUACCAAAGCUUCUUUCCGAAUCAUUGUUCCAGAAGACAUUUUUGAAGUCGUUAUAAAACCAGAUUUUUGGCCCGCUAAGGCAUUUAUCCGAGAAUAUAUCUUUAAGGAUACCCCUCGAUCUGAUGUUGUUUACCUCCCACUAAUUCUAACUCUAAAAUUAUGCCAAAAAACUGAAUUUAUCAUUUGCUGCUGAUCACAUAUCUCUAGUAUAUCAAAAUGUUAGAGGGUUAAAUACAAAACUAUCGUCUCUUUACUCAGAUAGCUUUAUUUUCGAUUAUCAUAUCAUGGCUUUUACUGAAACUUGGCUUCAGAAUAAGGUAUACGAUUCUGAAAUACUACAUUCCAAAUAUCAAAUAUAUAGGCGUGAUCGGAACGAUAAAAUGAAAAAAUCUG